GACUCACUGGGCAAAGUUAAUUUCAAUUCCCGAGGAGGAUUUCAUAUUCCAGCUCGCUCUGACCCACAGUAAUUAGCUGAGCUAACUAAUGAUUACUUACUUAUUCCUUGUAAUUAUCUGGAUUUAAUAAUUCGCUGUGUAAUUUAUUAAUUCGCCCAUAAUAGCCUUUAAGUGAAUGGCUCAUUUAAGAGGGCAAAGCGGAAGUUCAGAGACUACCACACGCCUAUUGACAAAUGCUGCCCUUCUGGUGAUUUUAAUUACCCGAUUCACUCUUUCUGUGGAAUAGCAGGGUUUCUCGGAUGCCUGGGCUGGAGGAGGCAGGCACUGGCAAGGUUGGAGGGCCGGACAGAGCAGAAGAGUUCUGUCCUUGGUGCUGAAAGCAAAGCCGGCAUGAGGCAGAAGCAGCCACCAUGACAUAAAGAACCAGACCCGGACCACGUUCUUCUUGAGGUCCAGUUUCUCUGCGAUGGCCGCUAUUUUUUCCGAGGAAGGACGUGGCUGGAUGGCAAAAUAGGCCUCCAAGGACCUCUUCUCAGGUGCAGCGAUAGAGGUACGCUUCCUCUUCUUCUCUGCUCCAUUGAAGAGCUCUGGUUUGGUGAGCUUCUCCCGGUGAGAUUUCUCUGCUUCUUCUAGCCAGGCUUGCAAGAUGGGUUUGAGGGCGAUCAUGUUAUUGUGGGACAAGGUAAGGGACUCAAACCUGCAGAUGGUGCUUUGGCUCAGUGAGCCUACCCCUGGGAUCUUCAAGUUGGCCAGGGCAGAGCCCACAUCUGCCUGGGUCACUCCGAGCUUGAUCCUCCUCUGCUUGAACCUCUCCGCAAAAGCUUCUAGAUCCCGGGGAUCUGCGUCCACGUCGCUCAUGCAUCCCAUGUGAGAAGGCAGCCCGUGGGCAUGGGCCAUGCUUAGAGCCGCCUGGUGCAUAGGGUUCAUACUGGCCAUGUGAGGAGCAUGGGCUGGCGUGGAGACCACCGAGCCGUCUGGUCCGGUCAUGGCCCCCAGCGCCAGCCCUGGGGUGAUGUGAUCUAAAAGCUCCCCUUCCAAAG